rnacentral:lncRNA from 1 species
CUUUAAAAAGGUAUAUUUAGGAACGGAGGGAGUAGGCUAGAAGGCCAUACCUUCCACCUCUUACGAAGUACAUGUUUGUACAUGGAAGCAACAACACCCAGUAGACUAAAUUUUAAAUAUAGUAGGUACAUGUAAGCAACAACACACCUCGUGGUUAAAUCAUGGUGGAGAUAACCACCGUGCUACUGCAUGUGUUUGUGGUAGAAAAAAAAGGAAUCUCUAAAUAACUUGGCAUGCCAGACGGAUUUGGGAAAGAACAGAGUACCAGAUUGGACGGGAACUACUUAGAGCGGUGUGCUUGGGUCGGUCGCUGCUGUGGCCCAGCAGCUAGCAACGCUGGGAGGAGGCAGGGUGGGCCUAACCCUUGGCUUGGCUUGCACCGGCCUUGCGCUAGGCCGGGGAGCUUGACGAGGCAAGACUCGAUCUAGGCAACGCGGAGCUGCAUCGUCCUCCUCUGCUCGAAGGGCGCAACAGCUAUAGGCGACAGGAGAUAGUGGCGUCGUGGUUCCUUGGGAAGAGACGAGAAAAAAUAGAUUGACUAGAGAGAGAGACGGAACGAACAUGGGAAGGACAAAGAUGGCUGAGGCGCGGUAAACUGGUGUUGUUGACGGACGAGGGGCUCGACAGCGGUGCUUGACGAAGAGGUUUCAGCGGGGAGGUCCAGCAGCUGGGCCUCGAGGAUGAGACGCACGGGGCACAGGGAGAGGCGACGACCUGCUGCUCUUCAGCGGCUCGCCGGCUGUAGGAAGCCCUAGCGCGGCGCGAGCGUACCGGCAGUGCUUAGGGACGAGACGAGACGACGACAGCGGCGAGGUCAGCGCGGGGCGUGCUCGGGCUGGCUCGUCCAUGGUGGCUCUUCUCACCAAGAGAAGGAGGUCGAGGUGCUCGGAGCUCCUGGAUCGAGCAUUGGAGGCAGGUGCGAGCGAGGGCUUGGUGGAGGCCGAAAUCGAGGGAGGUGGCUGCGCUGCUACUGGAUCGGGGAAAAUCCCGACAAAGAUGUGACAGGCGACGAUGGAGGGAUAAACCUGCUAAGAGGGUGUUUGGAUACUCUUAG